AGGUGCGAUCAUACCUGCACUAAUGCACCGGAUCCCAUUAGAACUCCGCAGUUAAGCGUGCUUUGGCGAGAGUAGUAUUAGGAUGGGUGACCUCCUUGGAAGUCCUCGUGUUGCACCAC
rfam:Vigna angularis cultivar Jingnong 6 scaffold866_5, whole genome shotgun sequence.